rnacentral:rRNA from 1 species
AUUGAACGCUGGCGGCAGGCUUAACACAUGCAAGUCGAGCGGAGAUGAGGUGCUUGCACCUUAUCUUAGCGGCGGACGGGUGAGUAAUGCUUAGGAAUCUGCCUAUUAGUGGGGGACAACAUUUCGAAAGGUUAGCUAAUACCGCAUACGCCCUACGGGGGAAAGCAGGGGAUCUUCGGACCUUGCGUUAAUGGAGCGGCUGAUAUCUGAUUAGCUAGUAGGUGAGGUAAAGGCUCACCUAGGCUUCGAUCAGUAGCUGGUUUGAGAGGACGAUCAGACACACUGGAACUGAGACACGGUCCAGACUCCUACGGGAGGCAGCAGUGGGGAAUUUUCCGCAAUGGGCGAAAGCCUGACGGAGCAAUACCGCGUGAGGGAAGACUGCCUAUGGGUUGUAAACCUCUUUUUCAGGGAGGAAUAAAUGACGUGUACCUGAAGAAUAAGCAUCGGCUAACUCCGUG